AAGGCCAAGGCAACUGCUGUCGACCUGGGGUUCCCAAGCGAGGGCCCCUGGCACGCUGGCACGGGGCGAACCCGGCGGCUCGGUGCCCCGCGCGGGUCUGGCGCGCAGGACACCCGGGCAGCGCCAGCUGAGUCCCGGUGAAAAAGCGGCGGAGGCGAGAUGGGAACUCCUAUUGCUGGACAGCUCCCCAGUGACCAUCGAAGCUACUACUUACAGAAACCGUUUGCUUUUAAAUGAAAGCUGAUGAAGUAUAAGGACUAAUUUCUAUUAUAGCGCAAAUCCAGGUCUUUCUGGAACAAAUGUAAACCAUUUGCAAAGCUGACCUCUGAAGGAUUUCCCUGAAUAAUCCCGGAAUAGUUUUGAUAAUGGAGUUGCACUGUGAUAACACUCGUGUCUCUUCCCAAGGAACCUGGGAAGAAUGAAAAACGAUUGGUAACCAAAUUCUUCAAAAUCUGCUCAAACUUACCUACUACCCCCCCAAAAAAAUUGAAGGGGGAGUGAGGACCUGACAAAGUGACAGAAACUCGGCACAAAUGUAUGGAGGCAUUGCACUCUGAAAUUUUUACAAACCUUUUACUGAACAACACUUCUCUGGUUCCUGCAGUGUUUCUCAACCUUGACAAUUUUAAGGCAU